AGGAUAUUGAGUGUUUCAAAGUAAACAAAUGAAUGCAAACCAAUCAGAUGUUUAGAAUGUGGAUCGGCUGUGUUCAUUUAGGGCCCAAACAGACUUGCAAUUCCUAAGACAAUUGUGGCAAUUGUGACACAAGGGGUGACACGCACAAGCAGUGGCAAGUGGUCACAGAUGAAAUGGGCUGGCAAGGCAUGCACCUGCCUAAUAUGGAAUGUUUGAUCUCGUCAGCACAAAAAUCCCUGGUUGGCUGGAGAUUUAUGGGAAUUGAAGUCCACACAUCUUAAAGUUGCUACGAUGCAAUUUCAAGAAAUCUUCCAUAUUGUACUGAAUAUAUGGAGUUGUUUGCCUUCAGGAUCCAUGAAUAAAUGUUUGGUGGAUUGGAAUCUGCUGAGCAGUACAGUUGAACAGCAUCACCUUUAUCAAGCGUAAACACUUUUCCUACUUUCUGGCCUUUGGCAGUAUUUAUGGUAAGUUCAUAGGGUCCAUCUUGGUAAA